UCAGGCCUAACACAUGCAAGUCGAGCGGAAACGAGCUAUCUGAACCUUCGGGGAACGAUAAUGGCGUCGAGCGGCGGACGGGUGAGUGAUGCCUAGGAAAUUGCCCUGAUGUGGGGGAUAACCAUUGGAAACGAUGGCUAAUACCGCAUGAUACCUACGGGCCAAAGAGGGGGACCUUCGGGCCUCUCGCGUCAGGAUAUGCCUAGGUGGGAUUAGCUAGUUGGUGAGGUAAGGGCUCACCAAGGCGACGAUCCCUAGCUGGUCUGAGAGGAUGAUCAGCCACACUGGAACUGAGACACGGUCCAGACUCCUACGGGAGGCAGCAGUGGGGAAUAUUGCACAAUGGGCGCAAGCCUGAUGCAGCCAUGCCGCGUGUGUGAAGAAGGCCUUCGGGUUGUAAAGCACUUUCAGUCGUGAGGAAGGUAGUGUAGUUAAUAGCUGCAUUAUUUGACGUUAGCGACAGAAGAAGCACCGGCUAACUCCGUGCCAGCAGCCGCGGUAAUACGGAGGGUGCGAGCGUUAAUCGGAAUUACUGGGCGUAAAGCGCAUGCAGGUGGUUUGUUAAGUCAGAUGUGAAAGCCCGGGGCUCAACCUCGGAAUAGCAUUCGAAACUGGCAGACUAGAGUACUGUAGAGGGGGGUAGAAUUUCA
rnacentral:rRNA from 1 species